rnacentral:rRNA from 1 species
CAAUAGCGUAUAUUAAAGUUGUUGCAGUUAAAAAGCUCGUAGUUGGAUUUCUGGUUGAAGCGACCGGUCGGGCGUUGAUUCGUCUGCACUGGAGUCGGUUUUGGCCAUCCUCUAGGAAAGUGCGUCUGGUAUUAAGUUAUCGGGCGUAUGAUCCUGGUCUUUUACUGUGAAAAAAUUAGAGUGUUUAAAGCAGGCCUUCGCCUUGAAUACAUUAGCAUGGAAUAAUAAGAUAGGACUUUGGUCUAUUUUGUUGGUUUGCAGACCGAAGUAAUGAUUAAUAGGGAUAGUUGGGGGUAUUUAUAUUCCGAUGUCAGAGGUGAAAUUCUUAGAUUUUCGGAAGAUAAACUUAUGCGAAAGCAUUUACCAAGGAUGUUUNCAUUG